rnacentral:rRNA from 1 species
UACACUCCUGCGGGAGGCAGCAGUGGGGAAUAUUGGACAAUGGGCGCAAGCCUGAUCCAGCCAUGCCGCGUGAGUGAUGAAGGCCCUAGGGUUGUAAAGCUCUUUCACCGGUGAAGAUAAUGACGGUAACCGGAGAAGAAGCCCCGGCUAACUUCGUGCCAGCAGCCGCGGUAAUACGAAGGGGGCUAGCGUUGUUCGGAUUUACUGGGCGUAAAGCGCACGUAGGCGGACUAUUAAGUCAGGGGUGAAAUCCCGGGGCUCAACCCCGGAACUGCCUUUGAUACUGGUAGUCUUGAGUUCGGGAGAGGUGAGUGGAAUUCCGAGUGUAGAGGUGAAAUUCGUAGAUAUUCGGAGGAACACCAGUGGCGAAGGCGGCUCACUGGCUCGAUACUGACGCUGAGGUGCGAAAGCGUGGGGAGCAAACAGGAUUAGAAACCCUGGUAGUCCCAUGAU